GGUUUCGUGGUGUAGUUGGUUAUCACGUCAGUCUAACAGAUCGAGUGCGCAUUCUCCGAAUGCCCUCGCCUGGCACACUGAAGGUCUCCGGUUCAAGUCCGGACGAAAUCA